rnacentral:rRNA from 1 species
AACGAACGCUGGCGGCAUGCCUAACACAUGCAAGUCGAACGAGACCUUCGGGUCUAGUGGCGCACGGGUGCGUAACGCGUGGGAAUCUGCCCUUAGGUUCGGAAUAACUUCGGGAAACUGAAGCUAAUACCGGAUGAUGACGUAAGUCCAAAGAUUUAUCGCCUAAGGAUGAGCCCGCGUAGGAUUAGCUAGUUGGUGAGGUAAAAGCUCACCAAGGCGACGAUCCUUAGCUGGUCGAGAGGAUGAUCAGCCACACUGGGACUGAGACACGGCCCAGACUCCUACGGGAGGCAGCAGUGGGGAAUAUUGGACAAUGGGCGCAAGCCUGAUCCAGCCAUGCCGCGUGAGUGAUGAAGGCCUUAGGGUUGUAAAGCUCUUUUGCCCGGGAAGAUAAUGACGGUACCGGGAGAAUAAGCCCCGGCUAACUUCGUGCCAGCCGCCGCUGUAAU